rnacentral:rRNA from 1 species
UACGGAGGGGGCGAGCGUUAUUCGGAAUUAUUGGGCGUAAAGGGCGCGUAGGCGGCCUGAUAAGUCAAAGGUGAAAUCCCUCGGCUCAACUGAGGAAUUGCCUUUGAAACUGUCAGGCUUGAGGCCGGGAGGGGGUGGCGGAAUUCCCAGUGUAGCGGUGAAAUGCGUAGAUAUUAGGAAGAACACCGGUGGCGAAGGCGGCCCACUGGAUCGGUACUGACGCUGAGGUGCGAAAGCUAGGGGAGCAAACGGG